GCUAGUGUAGCUUAAAUAAAGCAUAACACUGAAGGAUGUUGAAGAUGAACC
rnacentral:tRNA from 1 species